rnacentral:tRNA from 1 species
GAGGGUACAGUUCAGUGUUAGAGGACAUGCCUGGCAUGCACAAGGUCCUGGGUUCAAUCCCCAGUACCUCCA